GGCUGGUCUGAGGGUAACGAGUUAUUUCAAUUCAUUGUUCACAGUCAGUGACAGAUAAAACUCCUUGUUCUACUCUUUCCCUGCUUCUCACUACUGGACAUGACUAGUAAAA
ensembl:misc_RNA Y_RNA Y RNA